GUCACAGCUGGAGAUGCAAGGCAAGGCCUACGUGCAACUUGACAGCGCACGCUACACAGAGCUGAUUGACAAUUGUUUGACAAAACGCUUUCAAGACUUUUCUUUGCUGGAGCCAGUCGCUCCAUUCAUGUGCUAUCCUUUUCGGGAAGAUGCUGAGGUUGAUUCACUCGCAUCGAAAGUUGCAACGCUGUUUCACCGGAACUCUUCUGGAGUGGAAGAUGAGAUUUUGACACUACAAGCCGACAUCGAGCUGAAGUCCAGAGCUCAUGGACAGUUUUGGAACUUACUCACAGAGCUAAAGUACCCCAACAUGAGGAAACGUGCUACCUCCACUUAUUUAUGUGAGUCAGCCUUUUUCCCACAUGAAGAUCAUUAAGUCCAAGUACCGUUCCACCCUAGCAGAUGAACAUUUGGAAGUGUGCUUGAGGCUGGCUGUCAGCAGCUACUGUCCGGACUAUGCAUCCCCGGCUGAUUCACUUCAGUGCAAGUCAUCAGAGUAAACUCAGAGGGAGAUGACCACUUGUGCCUGGGAGGUGCGUCUCUUCACCUCAACAGCAAAAGCAGUCCAACGCGAGGACUUGGCAGCCAGGCUGGGCGGAGAGCAGCCAUUUUCAAACUGUCUCGACACUAUCAUAGAGAAACAACUACAUCCCUCACGGGUCCACUGUCACUGCUAGCAUGUCAAAGCUAAAAGUGCACUGAAGCAGCCUCACCAGACAAAUGUUGUUCAUCUCGGCUCUGAUGUUUCCCGGUCAUCUGUUUGAGUCUUGACUUGGCCACGUUUGCGCGCCCUGCUGAUGAAGA